rnacentral:rRNA from 1 species
CCAGACUCCUACGGGAGGCAGCAGUGAGGAAUAUUGGUCAAUGGGAGAGAUCCUGAACCAGCCAAGCCGCGUGAGGGAAGACGGCCCUAUGGGUUGUAAACCUCUUUUGUCGGAGAACAAAACCCGGGACGUGUCCCGGACUGCGUGUAUCCGAAGAAAAAGCAUCGGCUAACUCCGUGCCAGCAGCCGCGGUAAUACGGAGGAUGCGAGCGUUAUCCGGAUUUAUUGGGUUUAAAGGGUGCGUAGGCGGUCCGUUAAGUCAGCGGUAAAAUUGCGGGGCUCAACCCCGUCGAGCCGUUGAAACUGGCAGACUUGAGUUGGCGAGAAGUACGCGGAAUGCGCGGUGUAGCGGUGAAAUGCAUAGAUAUCGCGCAGAACUCCGAUUGCGAAGGCAGCGUACCGGCGCCAGACUGACGCUGAGGCACGAAAGCGUGGGGAUCGAACAGGAUUAGAUACCCUGGUA